rnacentral:rRNA from 1 species
UACAGAGGCCUCGAGCGUUAGGCGGAAUCACUGGGCUUAAAGCGUGUGUAGGUGGAUGCCUAAGUACCUUGUGAAAUCCCACAGCUUAACGGUGGAAUGGCUGGGUAUACUGGGCGUCUUGAGCCACUCAGGGGCUACCGGAACAAGCGGUGGAGCGGUGAAAUGCGUAGAUAUCGCUUGGAACGCCAAUGGUGAAAACAGGUAGCUGGGGGUGUGCUGACACUGAGACACGAAAGCCAGGGGAGCGAACGGG